rnacentral:rRNA from 1 species
GGAAUAUUGGACAAUGGGGGAAACCCUGAUCCAGCAACGCCGCGUGGAGGAAGAAGGUCCUCGGAUCGUAAACUCCUGUCAGGUGGGACGAAGGUCUGUCGGUAAAGAGCCGUACAGGCUCGACGGUACCGCCAGAGAAAGACCCGGCUAACUCCGUGCCAUCAGCCGCGGUAAUACGGAGGGGGCGAGCGUUAUUCGGAAUUAUUGGGCGUAAAGGGCGCGUAGGCGGCUUCGCAAGUUGAAGGUGAAAUCCCUCGGCUCAACCGAGGAACUGCCUUCAAAACUGCGUGGCUUGAGGCCGGGAGGGGCCAGUGGAAUUCCCAGUGUGGCGGUGAAAUGCGUAGAGAUUGGGAGGAACACCGGUGGCGAAGGCGGCUGGCUGGACCGGUUCUGACGCUGAUGCGCGAAAGCGUGGGGAGCAAA